CCGGGUUCUGUUGGAUCCUUUGCGCUAUGUGCUCGCACCCUUUCCCCCCAUAUCCCGCCCCUCCAGUGUCGCCGGCUGCGGUUCCUCCCAACCUUCUUCUGCGCUACGUGCUCUGCCCUCUCCCCCCUGGGGUUUCUGCGCUCGGAAUCCAGAAGGGGAGGCCUUCCAUCUAGCUCGUGGUGACUCCAGUGAGACUCAGAUUUGUCUCUGCUAGAAUCUUGCAAUGACAAUUUUUGACGAUGAUGAUGAUGCGGAGCCACAACUGAAGGUCGUUGACAACUACUAUUUUGAGAAAGCCAAGGACGAGUUUGUUUGUUUCAGCACCUUGCCCCUUAAGUUUGAUGAGAAUGAUAAAGUCUCCGGGAAGGGUAUCUACUUGCGUCGAUAUUCCGCAGAUGGCGCCCCUGCAGUAUACAAGCAGGUUGUAGCUUGGACAGUGGCACUUAACCGUGAGCAGCCAAAGAUCUCAGUGCUUUCAAGUGAGGGCUAUUGGAUAUAAUUGGAUCUAUUGAAACCACGGAAAAUCUAUUGGAAGUUUGCUCGAUCAGCAGUAACGACAGUUCAAAUGCUCCACUUUGUCAAAAGGCAACCCAGAAAACCGAUGAUAAGUCUUUCUGUUCACCUUCGUGAAAUAUUCAGUAAAUUUGAAACGGAAGAGAUGGAGGAUGCUUUAGGGAAACACCAUCACAUAAUCAAGCGAUGUGCAGAGAGGGAUCCUGCUUUAAUGAGGUCAAAGAUUCUGCAAAGCUUUAUCAAGGACACUUCUGGGAAAUACUUUGAGUGCAUAUUAAGGAGUCUGAGCACCAAGGAGUCAUUCAUUGUUGUUGCUGAGCCUCUUGCAAGUGGGGGUAAAGGCAAUUGCGAUACAGUUAGUGAUGGUAACAUAAUCGGCGAUGAUGGUGAUGGCACUGAGCCAAUAUGUGCAAUAUGUGACGAAGGAGGAGAAUUACUUAGCUGUAAAGGUCGAUGCAAGAGAGCCUUCCAUCCUACAAUAGAAGCUGGCAGAAAGUCUAAAUGUGUAACACUUGGUUACACUGCUGUACAAGUAAAGGAAAUGAAUAAGUUCAUAUGCGAAAACUGUAGAUAUGAACAACACCAAUGUUUCAAAUGCGGAGAACUCGACUCGUCUCAUGAGCCUAAUGCCAAGGUCUUUCAAUGUUGUAAACUGUUUUGUGGCCACUUCUACCACCCCAAGUGUGCUGCAGAAUUACUUCAGUCUCACAGUAAUGGAGCCUGUGAGUUGGAGAACAAGAUUGCAGCUGGGAUGCCAUUUCCAUGUCCUGUACAUUGGUGCUUCAGACCUGAUUGUAAAAAAAUGGAGGAAAAGAGACUGAAAGAGCAAUGUGGCUUGCUGGCUGCAGACGUUGUCCAAGGUCAUAUCACUUAGAUUGUUUGCCAAGGGAGAUAUGCUUUAAGUAUGGUAACGGAGGUAUACGUGCUUGGUUUCUAUCGGAAAGAAACCUAUCUAAAAGACUCAUCAUUUACUGCACAGACCAUGAGAUAGACCCAGCUAUGGGAACACCUUGCAGGGAUCAUAUAAAGUUCCCUGCUCUUCUAGAAAACAAAGGUCACGGUUCAACAGAAUCCACAAAGUUUCAGCACUCUGAGGAUUAUAUAUGUUCACCUUGUCCUUCACAAAGGAAGGCAAACGCUACAAAAGUAGAGGAAAUUAGAGAAAGGCUUGAGAAGAGAAGGCUGCGGCACAACAAAGAGGUGGGUUCGAGAUUGUCUAUAGAAGGAAAUAAAAACAUCAAGAGAGAUUCAACAUAUGUUUUGUUGGGAUCAUCUCACAAGGCAUCUAGAGGAAACCAUUGUGUAGAAUUUUGAUGAUGGUCCUAAGGACUUUGAAGAUUUUGCCAAACCAGGAAUGCAAAUUGCUGAUGGAAAGUGAAGCUUAUGUCAACAUCAUUGUGUCCUGGUUGCCCUAGCACUACAAAAUAUCUACGGUUUGAUGGUUCUAAAAGUUGGGGUAUCGACAAAAUUUCUAAUUGUGCUUAUUAAUAAGUUAUGCAGAUACCUAUUAGUCUAUUAUUAAUGCUAACUUUGAUGAUGGAAUGUGCUGGAAACAUACUCCUUAUGCUCAAUGCUCCUCAAAAAGUGCAUACAAAACAUCUGUGCAGGAGCCAUGGCUGGAAUCCGCGCAUCUACUUGUGGUCCUUCGUAUCAAGAAAAUCAUACUCCUAAUUAAUGCAUCUUGGAAGGAUCAAACCAUCCCUCAAGCCCUUCUGCAUGGAGACUUAUAAGGUGGGGUUUAGCAACUGGUAAGAGAGCAUCUAGACAUAUUUUGAAAGGAUGCAUCCUAUCCGAUGCCUCCGUGAAUCAGAUGCUCAUAUGUUCCAUUGCCCCUUUGCUAGACCAGUCUGGUUCUCUUAUUUAGGCUUUAGAUCAGAUGUUUUUGCUCCUGGCGCCUCUAUAUUUCCUCCAUGCUUAAUUCUAAUCAUCCUGGUAUCUCUGUUGCUAAAUCAUUUCCAUGCUCUCAUUUAUGGAAAUCCAGGAGUGAUUUGCUUCUUAAUUAAACAAGCUGGUCUAUUGUGCAGGUUCUUCAUGCUUCCUCGGCUAUCUCUCCUGUAGCUCUGAUAUUGCUGAUUCUUGUCGGUCCUGUUGGCUUUAAUCUUGAUUCCAUGUAUCUGCAUUUUAGUUUGAUUUCGUACAUGCAUGUAGUCGAGAUGGUCUAGGGCAUUGUAUCCAGGUUGAACUUCACUUGAGCAUACAGGAGGUGGGAUGCGGAGCUAGCCGUGCAAUGCGGCCGGAGGUGGAGCGUGACAACCUGUGUGAUCCAGUCCUAGAGCCAACGUCCUGCAGUGUUCCCAGACGAGUGAAUCGUUGAUGCGUCAGCCAGUUAGUUCGUGGAGCUUGUUAUCCAGUCAUGUGCAUGUGCAUGUUGGUCAUUGUGUCAUUGUGUUGGAGUAUGGCGUGCGUUUAGGAGGUAGUGGUCUGAGAUGGGCUGCUAUAUAUUCUGUAAUCAUAUUUAUUUGAAGAGGCAGAAAGAAAAGGUCGAGCUGUGAGGGGCAGCAUGACGCCAAAA